AAAGCAGGUCGGCUUGUCGCUUCGUAAUGCGAAGAGGAAAGUCCGGGCAACACAGAGCAUCAUAUUUCCUAACAGGAAGCUGUUUGCAAAAGCAGAGUAACGUAACAGAAAACAACCGUCCCUAAGCGGGAUAAGGGUGAAAAGGCGAGGUAAGAGCUCACCGGCAUUCAUGGCAACAUGAGUGGCCGUACGUCUUAUGAGUUGCAAGGCCAUGUAAACCAACGAUUGAGGAUUGCUCGUCCAAUGUUGGAGGGUAGGCCGCUUGAGAUUGUUGGCAACAACAAUCCUAGAUAAAUGACAGGCAUUCUGCAUAGCAGAAGACAGAACCCGGCUUAUAGACCUGCUUUUUAU
rnacentral:RNase_P_RNA from 1 species